UAGGGAAUCUUCGGCAAUGGAUGAAAGUCUGACCGAGCAACGCCGCGUGAGUGAAGAAGGUUUUCGGAUCGUAAAACUCUGUUGUUAGAGAAGAACAAGGACGUUAGUAACUGAACGUCCCCUGACGGUAUCUAACCAGAAAGCCACGGCUAACUACGUGCCAGCAACCGCGGUAAUACGUAGGUGGCAAGCGUUGUCCGGAUUUAUUGGGCGUAAAGCGAGCGCAGGCGGUUUCUUAAGUCUGAUGUGAAAGCCCCCGGCUCAACCGGGGAGGGUCAUUGGAAACUGGGAGACUUGAGUGCAGAAGAGGAGAGUGGAAUUCCAUGUGUAGCGGUGAAAUGCGUAGAUAUAUGGAGGAACACCAGUGGCGAAGGCGGCUCUCUGGUCUGUAACUGACGCUGAGGCUCGAAAGCGUGGGGAGCAAACAGG
rnacentral:rRNA from 1 species